rnacentral:rRNA from 1 species
GACGAACGCUGGCGGCGUGCUUAACACAUGCAAGUCGAACGGAAAGGCCCUGCUUUUGUGGGGUGCUCGAGUGGCGAACGGGUGAGUAACACGUGAGUAACCUGCCCCUGACUGUGGGAUAACUUCAGGAAACAGGGGCUAAUACCGGAUAGGAGCUCCUGCUGCAUGGGGGGGGUUGGAAAGUUUCGGCGGUUGGGGAUGGACUCGCGGCUUAUGAGCUUGUUGGUGGGGUAGGGGCUGACCAAGGCUUUGACGGGUAGCCGGCCUGAGAGGGUGACCGGCCACCUUGGGCCUGAGAUACGGCCCAGACUCCUACGGGAGGCAGCAGUGGGGAGUCUUGCGCAAUGGGCGGACGCCUGAUGCAGCAACGCCGCGUGCGGAAUGACGUCCUUCGGGUUGUAAACCGCUUUCGCCUGUGCCGAAGCGUGAGUGACGGUAAUGGGUAAGGAAGCACCGGCUAACUACGUG